rnacentral:tRNA from 1 species
GCACCCGUGGUCUAGCGGAUCGGGCCUCGGCCUUCUAAGCCGAAGACGCUGGUUCGAAUCCAGCCGGGUGUUCCA